rnacentral:rRNA from 1 species
UACGUAGGGUGCAAGCGUUAUCCGAGAUUAUUGGGCGUAAAGAGCUCGUAGGCGGUUUGUCGCGUCUGCUGUGAAAACUGGAGGCUCAACCUCCAGCCUGCAGUGGGUACGGGCAGACUAGAGUGCGGUAGGGGAGAUUGGAAUUCCUGGUGUAGCGGUGGAAUGCGCAGAUAUCAGGAGGAACACCGAUGGCGAAGGCAGAUCUCUGGGCCGUAACUGACGCUGAGGAGCGAAAGCAUGGGGAGCGAACAGG